rnacentral:rRNA from 1 species
UACAGAGGCCUCGAGCGUUAGGCGGAAUCACUGGGCUUAAAGCGUGUGUAGGUGGAGUUCUAAGUACCUUGUGAAAUCCCACGGCUCAACCGUGGAACUGCUGGGUAUACUGGUUCUCUUGAGGUACCUAGGGGCGAGCGGAACAAGUGGUGGAGCGGUGAAAUGCGUAGAUAUCACUUGGAACGCCAACGGUGAAAACAGCUCGCUGGGGGUAUCCUGACACUGAGACACGAAAGCCAGGGGAGCGAACGGG